rnacentral:misc_RNA from 1 species
CAACCCUCAGGCUCUGCCUGGCGUUGGGGACCUGCGCACUGCAGCCCCCGAAAGACAGCGGCGGUCCCGUCGCGGCUCCGAGCGUAGUAAACACCUCGCUUCGGCGUCCGUGCGGUGGCCGGCCGGAAAACCCCCAAAUCACGUGG